CCUACGGGUCGCACCAGUGGGGAAUAUUGGACAAUGGGCGAAAGCCUGAUCCAGCAAUGCCGCGUGUGUGAAGAAGGUCUUCGGAUUGUAAAGCACUUUCGACGGGGACGAUGAUGACGGUACCCGUAGGAGAAGCCCCGGCUAACUUCUUGCCAGCAGCCGCGGUAAUACGAAGGGGGCUAGCGUUGCUCGGAAUGACUGGGCGUAAAGGGCGCGUAGGCGGUUUAUGCAGUCAGAUGUGAAAUCCCCGGGCUUAACCUGGGAACUGCAUUUGAGGCGCAUAGACUAGAGGUCGAGAGAGGGUUGUGGAAUUCCCAGUGUAGAGGUGAAAUUCGUAGAUAUUGGGAAGAACACCGGUGGCGAAGGCGGCAACCUGGCUCGAUACUGGCGCUGAGGCGCGAAAGCGUGGGGAGCAAACAGGAUUAGAUACCCCCGUAGUC
rnacentral:rRNA from 1 species